GAGCGGCCGUCGGUGCAGAUC
rnacentral:snRNA from 1 species